rnacentral:rRNA from 2 species
GUAAACGGCGGCCGUAACUAUAACGGUCCUAAGGUAGCGAAAUUCCUUGUCGGGUAAGUUCCGACCUGCACGAAUGGCGUAACGAUGGCGGCGCUGUCUCCACCCGAGACUCAGUGAAAUUGAAAUCGCUGUGAAGAUGCAGUGUAUCCGCGGCUAGACGGAAAGACCCCGUGAACCUUUACUAUAGCUUUGCACUGGACUUUGAAUUUGCUUGUGUAGGAUAGGUGGGAGGCUUUGAAGUGGGGACGCCAGUUCUCAUGGAGCCAUCCUUGAAAUACCACCCUGGCAACUUUGAGGUUCUAACUCAGGUCCGUUAUCCGGAUCGAGGACAGUGUAUGGUGGGUAGUUUGACUGGGGCGGUCUCCUCCCAAAGAGUAACGGAGGAGUACGAAGGUGCGCUCAGACCGGUCGGAAAUCGGUCGUAGAGUAUAAAGGCAAAAGCGCGCUUGACUGCGAGACACACACGUCGAGCAGGUACGAAAGUAGGUCUUAGUGAUCCGGUGGUUCUGUAUGGAAGGGCCAUCGCUCAACGGAUAAAAGGUACUCCGGGGAUAACAGGCUGAUACCGCCCAAGAGUUCAUAUCGACGGCGGUGUUUGGCACCUCGAUGUCGGCUCAUCACAUCCUGGGGCUGAAGCCGGUCCCAAGGGUAUGGCUGUUCGCCAUUUAAAGUGGUACGCGAGCUGGGUUUAUAACGUCGUGAGACAGUUCGGUCCCUAUCUGCCGUGGACGUUUGAGAUUUGAGAGGGGCUGCUCCUAGUACGAGAGGACCGGAGUGGACGAACCUCUGGUGUUCCGGUUGUCACGCCAGUGGCAUUGCCGGGUAGCUAUGUUCGGAAGAGAUAACCGCUGAAAGCAUCUAAGCGGGAAACUUGCCUCAAGAUGAGAUCUCACUGGGAUCUUGAAUCCCCUAAAGGGCCGUCGAAGACUACGACGUUGAUAGGUUGGGUGUGUAAGCGCUGUGAGGCGUUGAGCUAACCAAUACUAAUUGCCCGUGAGGCUUGACCAUAUAACACCCAAGCAAUU